rnacentral:lncRNA from 1 species
UAUGAAAAACCCGAAAGAAGACUAUAGUGAUUCAAGCAAACAAGUAAAAUGAUGAUGAAAAUAAGGUGUCUAUGAUGUAUGAUUAUGAAGUAGGUGUAAUCCGGCCUGACCAACUCCCCAAACUGGUGCUCUUCAGCCGAAGAGGUUCUGGGUAUGAGGCAGUGUUUAUAAUGUAUGAUUAUGAAGUAGGUCUAAAACUUUCAUCCGGGUUGAUCACAACUCCCUGAACUGGUCCCCUUCGGCCAAAGAGGUUCCGGGUAUGAGACGGUACAGAAGCCAUCGGUUGAAAAUUUUGAGGUAGUGGUAUUUCAGCAGAGUGACCUGAAAUGCAGAGUGUCCCAGUAUCAUCUUGUUGCCAGUAGACCUCAACCAUGAUACCUCUAGGAUUCUCAGCAGAUUCUGUUCCGGGAAUCCCCACAAACCUUGCACCUAUUGGU